ACGGCCGUUGAGCAGGGUAUUCGAAAGUCGAGAUGAGAGAGAAGAUAGAUUAGUGUGGCGGUCCACAACAACGAUGCGGGUAUCGCCGCCGACGUAGCAUAAAGACUUGUCGUGCGGUCGAGGCACGAUGUGGCCACCGUAGGAACACAUAAGGCGGAGCUUUGAGGCGAGUGGAGGCGGGUCAUCGAAGUAAGAAUCUGUGUUGCGGGAGCGUGGAGAGGAGUCGAUGGACUCGGGAUAGGUUGCGGCGGAAUUAUUGGUAGGGAGGUGAGAGGGCAAGGCGGAGGCGGUGGCGGCGGUC
rnacentral:lncRNA from 1 species